GUGUCGAGCUCCUUUCCCAUAUUUACCCGAGCCGCCAUUUUGUUGCUGUUUCCGCCGCGUCUCCGGGGCCUCGGGGAAUCUGCGAGUUGGAAGCCACCGCGGGAAGCUCGAGUUGGCGGACGGGCUCCUUCCUCCGUUACCAGUAGUCAGGGUGGUGCCGUCCCGGGCCCCGACUCCUCUCUUCUCCAACCACCUCCCCCACACCCCCCCUCCUGUUCCCGGGAUCGGGGGGCUGCGCCGGCAGCGAUGGGCAGGUCUCGGAGUCGCAGCUCGUCCCGCUCCAAACACGCCAAGAGCAGCAAGCACGGCAAGCGGCGGACUCGCUCCCACUCGCGGGACAAGGAGAGGCCGCGCAAACGCUCCAAGUCCCGGGAGAAGAAGAGUCGCCGGCACGCGGCCAACCGGGAGUCGCGCUCCCGCUCCCGCUGCCGAACCACCCCGGAGCGCAUCGACAUCUUCGGCCGCAACCUGAGUAAGAGGAGCAGCCUGGAUGAGAAACAGAAGCGGGAGGAGGAGGAGAAGAAAGCAGAGCUGGAGAGGCAACGCAAGAUCCGACAGCAGGAAAUAGAAGAGAAGCUAAUUGAAGAAGAAACUGCAAGAAGAGUGGAGGAACUUGUGGCUAAACGUGUUGAAGAAGAGUUGGAGAAACGUAAAGAUGAGAUUGAGCGUGAGGUACUCCGGCGUGUCGAGGAGGCCAAGCGCAUUAUGGAAAAGCAACUGUUGGAGGAGCUUGAGCGACAGCGACAUGCUGAGCUCGCUGCACAGAAAGCUAGAGAGGUAACGCUCGAUCGUUGGAAAAGCAAACGACAGUCCAUGGCAAAACUUUCAGUCACAGUCAAUGGUCACCACUUAAUCUUCAUCAGUAAAUGGAAUCUGAAUACGUCUUUCCCUUUUCCAGCAGUCUGCAGUACCACAGCGUCGUUUUUUUAAGUUGUAUUUCUUUUGAUGUACAAACCAACAUUUUAUGAUAGUUUAAGAUGCUGAAUGUAGUAUUUAAUUAGGCUACACAAAGCAUUGUUCCAUGGCAUUUGCUGUUUAAAUUCAAGAACUUUGGGUGAAAUAAUAGUAAUGUGCCAGCAUAUCAAUAGCUGUUGAAAAUCUUUUUCCACACUUAAGUUUAAUUGAAACUUUUGCCAUGGCUGCAGACUUUGAGUUAACCUAACCAUGCAAAAGCUUUUUCUUUAAAGGCUUUUCAGGCUAGCAAUUUGCCCUUCAUUUGUGUAAACACUUUGUAUUCCAUCCUUACUCCAAGUGGCUUAGUCUUUUCAAUGCUGAACUAGGUCAAAGUGGCUGAGUUUGCAGUACUUGCUUAUGGCAAGUGGUUUAUGUUUGCUGUUUAUCCAUCUUGAAUAAGAAUAUAAAGGGGAAAUUUUAUCAUGAGGUUUCUGAUAUCAGCCUCCAUUUUAUUCAAAGGAUUCUUGUGGGACUGGAGCUAGUCCUUUAUAACCCACCUCCAGCGUGUAGUUAUAAGUACCUAUUCCUCCCAAGAGGGCUUUGACGACUGGUGAGUCCCUCCUUGAAGCUAGACAUCCUGUAUGUUAUAUGGUCUAGAAGCUGGAAGAUAUCUUCCUGUGAAAUAGUGAAUUGCUACUAUAUUGAAUUCUGCUGGCACUCGUCACCCCUGGAUUCUGAAAUGAAAUGCUUAGUCUUACGGAGGAGUGCAGUACCUAGCUGUCCAUAGCGACUUCAAAAAUCUAACAUUAACCCUUUGAGUAUGAAGUAACUUAGCUUUCACCAAUGUGCGCAUUUUCUUUCAAGUAGUUAAUUUAACCUUUAACGUUGGACAUUGCUGCAUAGAAUUAGAAAAAAGGCACAAAAUUGUGCUUCAUUCAUCAUGUGCUCUGAACAAAUCAAAAUUACUUUGUAAAGCUUUAUACUGUAUAUGGUCCUACGCGUUUAUGGCGACACCCCACUUAGUGGCAAAAAUUGAAGUCCCGAUUCUUUUUCUGCACAUUCAUGCCAAAUAUUUACUGUGUAUGUCAACGACAUUGUAAAUGCUGGUGUGCUUAAUUUGCCAAUUUUUCGUAAUUAUCAACUCCUUUUAUUAUAACUGUCGAUCAGUCCUUAUGUUCAGGUAAGUUUUUUGCAUCAUGGAUCCGAUUUAUUUGUGAAUGGCAGAGAGACAGAGAAAAAAUGCUUUAAUUUAUUUCUGAAUCAAUUCUAAACCUCAGACUUAAUUUUGUUGUUUGUAUCCCCCACCACCCCCCUCAACCUUUGUAUGUCUGUCCCUGUACCCCUCUCUUUCAUUUCAUGCACUCCCCUCUAUCCUAUGCCUUUACAUCUCAAUUCCACAUGCUAGAUUAAAGCUUCGACUUUUAACUAACACACGGUAGCCAUAUUUUAUCAUUUAAAAAAAAACCUUGUGUAAAAUGUAUUACUUUAUUCAAAAAAAACUCAAUAUAAUUUUACUGUAAUUUUUUCCCUUACCUUUUUUAAAGGUACUAAUACUGUAGACUGAGACUGUUUUAUGUUGCCUUUUGCUGGCAAACCACAUUAACAAAAUUAGAAUGAUCACCAAUAUAUCAUCAUAGAUGAGUAGGACUAUAUUUUAAUGUUCUGUGAAGUCUUCAAAGGGUUAGUGAUUAGUUUGUUUUACUAGUAAAGAUAUACUGGUUAUUGCUUUAGAAGUAAAACCACCGGUAUUUUUGGCUACAUUGCCUUGUAGUUUUAUCUUACUAGUAUUUUUAAGUUUUGUUAAAUUAACCUGAAAUUUCUUGUAUUAAUCUGUUGACAUUUAGUGAAGGAGCAUUAAUUUUUUUAUUUACUACAUUAGUUGGCCUGUUGGACAAAUUUUCAUUUCAGAAUGUUCUUAUCUGCUGCCUUGAAGGGAGAAUCAGUCUAUAUUUUAUUUGCAUUUAAUGCAACCAAGGGAGACAAAGUAUUUGAGGAAAUUAGUACAGUUAAUUAAUAUGCCAUUUUCAUAAAGUUAAGGAACACCUUCAAAUUGAGUUUAUAUUAUGAACAGUACUGUAUUAUAAGCUGCAUGAUAGUCAGUGCUAUCUUAUUUUAAUGUCUUUUCAUUUCAUUUUAUUUAAACACAUAUUGAAGUUGUAAAGUAUUCAGAGUGUAUUGAUAUACUGUUAGAUAAUGCCUAUUGUAUUAUGAUUUGCAUUCUAACUUGUUUGUAUCCAGGUUAUUUGAAGUUCCAGGGUUGAUGAGUGUCAGCUUGUAGCACAUUACUAAUCAUAGUAAGAUUAUUUUUCUUUUUCUUGUCUCUUGAUAGUUUCGCUUGGCUUCAUGUUAGCAUUGUCAUCCUACAGACAAAGGGCAAAUUUCCUGGGCCAUUCGCAGUACUGAAAAUGUAUUUUUUCCGUUCUGUACACAUUGUGAAAUUAUAAGUGCUUGGUGGAUGUUCUGUUUAUCUGAAUUUUGUAGCAGGCUAAUCUGCAAACUUGCAAGUGCAUGUAAUAACUAAAGUAGGUUAUUAUAAAAUUGUUUGACCAAAGUCAAUACAAUUUAUUCAGCAUUUACUCAUUAACUUGUAAUAACAAACAGUGCCUUGACUUUGAAAAGUUACUAGAUCAUCAGUAGCUUAAAUGGCACUUACAUAUGUGUUCUCAGAACGGAACAAACCAUCAUUUCUCCUACUGUGAAAGAUGCUCUCAGUUCCACAAAAGGAUGGAUUAAAGCUUGUAUUUUUCACUAACAGUAAAUGUAUCUUUCUUAUUAAUUGUUUGCCUUAGGAAUGGUGAUUUAUAUUGUUUCUUCUUACCGUAAACAUCUGCAUUCCUCAGCUCAGCCUGCGUUGUGUUGUGUUUCUUGUUAUUGGCUGAGCUGCUGAUGCAGGUGUUGCCAAGCUAACAGUACAAAUCAGUUUAAAGAGGAAGCUGGCGCAUAUGGCAGCCGAGGAACACACUCUGCAGGACACUGGACGAGACAGAGGAAGAACGAGCUAAACGAGAAGAACUUGAGCGAAUAUUGGAGGAAAAUAAUCGAAAAAUAGCAGAAGCUCAAGCUAAAUUGGCUGAAGAGCAAUUGAAAAUUGUUGAAGAGCAAAGAAAAAUCCAUGAAGAAAGGAUGAAGCUAGAGCAAGAAAGACAGCGUCAACAAAAGGAAGAACAAAAACUGAUCCUGGGCAAGGGGAAGUCCAGGCCAAAGCUGUCCUUCUCACUGAAAAGCUCUGUUGGAUAACUUUGUGCUUGUGUUCUUUUUUUAACCUUGUAGCUUCAUGUUGAAGUGUUUUUGGAAAAGACAAAGUUCGAAUGAUCAGAUGUGGGCUGUGCUCUACAACAUUUCUUAGCAGAAUGAGAAAUGUGAUUUUAAAACUGAAAUUCAAACAUCCUGUUUAUCAGUACAAUGGAACCCUGUAUAGAGCAUCUCUGAUUUGCAGAUGUAAAAUGUUCUCGAGCAGAAAUCAUCCUCAUCAGUUUUCUUCACAAAUUGGCUGUAAUAGAUUGGGACUUUGAAAGAUUAAGGGGAUCUUCACAGAGAUGAUCUAAAGAUGGGUUCCGCUGUAGUUAACUUAGCAAACCCAAUGUGAUGUAAAUGUUAAGUAGUAUUGGGAUGAUGUAGUAAUAUCAACUGUAAAUGAAGCAAAUUAGCAAUGGUGCCCAUUUUAAAUACAUUUGAUCUGUAAUCAAAAUUGAUAGCCCAACAAACCCUGAAUUAACUGUGGAGUCUGUCUGUGGUGUGUUAACAAAUACAAUGCUGUUGUCAGUAGAAUGGCUCCUGACAUUCACAGGUAAGGAAAAUCACCACAUUUCUGGGGGCACGGAGAAUUAUUGUCUGGACCUGCAGUACAUAUACCUCUUAAUGUUCUGAUUUGUUUUCAUCAUUUAGCAAAGUUAGCCUGCUUUUUCCCCAUAUUGUAAAUGUACAAACUACACAAAUAAAGUAAGAUUUUAAAUGCA